GGAGGCGAAGGGGUCCUGGUGGGCCCACUGGUCUUCAAAACCAGGUAGGGUGCGUAACGCGCGCCCAGGUAGGUUCGAUUCCUACACGCCUCCGCC
rnacentral:tRNA from 1 species